rnacentral:rRNA from 1 species
GACGGACGCUGGCGGCGUGCUUAACACAUGCAAGUCGAACGGAAAGGCCCUGCUUUUGUGGGGUGCUCGAGUGGCGAACGGGUGAGUAACACGUGAGUAACCUGCCCUUGACUUUGGGAUAACUUCAGGAAACUGGGGCUAAUACCGGAUAGGAGCUCCUGCUGCAUGGUGGGGGUUGGAAAGUUUCGGCGGUUGGGGAUGGACUCGCGGCUUAUCAGCUUGUUGGUGGGGUAGUGGCUUACCAAGGCUUUGACGGGUAGCCGGCCUGAGAGGGUGACCGGCCACAUUGGGACUGAGAUACGGCCCAAACUCCUACGGGAGGCAGCAGUGGGGAAUAUUGCACAAUGGGCGGAAGCCUGAUGCAGCAACGCCGCGUGCGGGAUGACGGCCUUCGGGUUGUAAACCGCUUUCGCCUGUGACGAAGCGUGAGUGACGGUAAUGGGUAAAGAAGCACCGGCUAACUACGUG